CUACCUCCUAUAGCUCCUGCUCCUGCUACUACUAUUGUCCCCUCCUUACCUCGUAUAGCUCCUGCUAAUGCUAUUGUCCCCUACUAUUGCUACCUCCUACAACUCUCGCUACUGCUACUCCAAAUCUUAAUUCUAAUACUACUCUUACUCCUACCUCCCGCUCCUGCUCGUAGUCUUUCUCCUACUCCUACUCAUAAGCCUGCUACUGCUACCUCCUACUGCUCCAACUACUGCUGCUAAUACUACUAAUGCUACUAUCCCUUGCUACCUCCUAAAGCUCCUGCUACUACUACUGCAAUUGUCCCUUACUACCACCUAAAGCUCCUGCUACGGCUACUUUCCCCUGCACUACUAUAUGCUACCUCCUACAGCUCAGCUCCUACUACUGCUACUGCCCUUUGCUACCUCCUACAACUUUUUCUAACAGCUCCUGCUAUUGCUACCAUCUAUUGCUAUUGUCCAUGCUACUGCUACCUGCUACCACCUACUUCUACCGUACUCUGCUACUACUACCUCCUAUAGCUAUUGUCCCCUGCAACUACUGCCUAAUCAUAAUCCUAAUCCCACCACCUAAUCCUAAUCUGAAUACUAAUCCCACUUCCUAAUCCUACCUAUUAAUCCUAAUCUUAUUCCUAAUCAUAAUUCUAAUUCUAAUCCUACUUCCUAAUUCUACCUCCUAAUCCUAAUCCUCUCUCCUAACCCUCUAAUCCUACCUCCUAUUCCUACUUCCUAAUCCUAAUCUUACUCCUAAUCCUAAUCCUAAUCCUACCUCCUAAUCCUAUCUCCUACUCUACUCCUACUCCUACUCCUACUCCUAAUCCUAAUCCUAAUCCUAAUCCUACUCCUAAUCCUAAUCCUACACCUAAUCCUAAUCCUACACCUAAUUCUACCUCCUAAUCCUACCUC
rnacentral:lncRNA from 1 species